UAAGAUUUGAAAGGGUGGUGUAUUUAAGA
rnacentral:piRNA from 1 species